GGAGAGGUGGCAGAGCGGUUGAAUGCGGCGGUCUCGAAAACCGUUGUGCUCGCAAGAGGACCGGGGGUUCGAAUCCCCCCCUCUCCG
rnacentral:tRNA from 1 species